CAGGGCCUGAGGCAGAGAAGCCAACUUCUGCCGACAGCCCUGUUCUCACAAACCCACCCACAGGGCCUUACUCUUAGUGGACCCCCAGCCAAAUCUGGCAUCUGAGCCUGCCGUUGCCAAGAUGGCUCCUGCUGAAUUAACUACAUCUGCCUCCUUGAUCCAGCUGUGUAUCAUCAACCCUGCUCCUUGUUUAUCUGCACGUAAUAACCCAGCCUCUCCGUUAACUCAGUAUGUAUUGGAGACUGAACCCAGGCCUCAUGCAUGCUACAGUCAUUUUACCAGUGAGUUAUACCCCCAG